rnacentral:tRNA from 1 species
GGAGAGGUGGCCGAGUGGCUUAAGGCGCACGCUUGGAAAGCGUGUAUACUCCAAAAGGGUAUCCGGGGUUCGAAUCCCCGUCUCUCCGCAA